UACUCCUACGGGAGGCAGCAGUAGGGAAUCUUCCACAAUGGGCGCAAGCCUGAUGGAGCAACACCGCGUGAGUGAAGAAGGGUUUCGGCUCGUAAAGCUCUGUUGUUGGAGAAGAACGUGCGUGAGAGUAACUGUUCACGCAGUGACGGUAUCCAACCAGAAAGUCACGGCUAACUACGUGCCAGCAGCCGCGGUAAU
rnacentral:rRNA from 1 species